rnacentral:rRNA from 1 species
UACAGAGGGGGCAAGCGUUGUUCGGAAUUACUGGGCGUAAAGGGCGCGUAGGCGGCCUGUUAAGUCGAACGUGAAAUCCCCGGGCUCAACCCGGGAACUGCGUCCGAUACUGGCAGGCUUGAAUCCGGGAGAGGGAUGCGGAAUUCCAGGUGUAGCGGUGAAAUGCGUAGAUAUCUGGAGGAACACCGAUGGCGAAGGCAGUUCUCUGGGCCGUAACUGACGCUGAGGAGCGAAAGCGUGGGGAGCGAACAGG